CCUUUCAGACUAGAUCCCGCAGAUGUCAUGGGAAGCCCUCUGCUGAGGUCUAAGCUGGAGUCCAGGACCUAUUUCUGUACCUUUCUGACCUAGGAGUCUGCGGUGAAUCCAUACUGUCCAAACCCAGGCUUGGGAAGGAAGCUUGACCAAACAUCCAUUAGUCCACUGAUUCUUCCUCAGCCUCCAGACUAAACCCGAGUCAGGCGGAGCUGACAGGUGUGCCCGAUCAGACAUCGUCCCAGAUCUGAUUACUUUUCUGGGGGCAAAGGGUAGAUGAGACUUAUUUGCAAUUUGUUCCAAGGGCCAUAAAGGUACCUGACAUCAAAGCUACCAAAGCCACUUGCUGCAUCCCAGGCUAUGACCAGUCCUCUUGAAUUUUGUCUGACUCCUGCACUUGGAUGAGUCUGGAAGAGAGAAUGAAGCCUUUGCAAGUCAAGACAUCAGCUAAUGAUGUUCAUGGAAUAUACCUUCUAGGGGAGAUAGCCACAGGGAGGUCCCCCUGACCUUGGGGUGCUUCUGUCCUCACAAUCCAUCAAUGAUCCUAAAAUCUUCUGGCCUUAGGAGAGUCCUAGGUCUUCUGGUCAGUAAUAACCAGAUUCCUGAGACCACUCAUCAGGUCUCCCUCUAGGCCAUAGCUUUAGCACAUCAAUGACAUGAAGAACUGGAUACAUGGGUCUCCUUGCUCCUGGCUCUUUGCUAAACUCUUUUGGAACUUGGCCUGCUUCAAUUGGCCUUACAAUGAUAAUAAACUUUGCCCCUUGACUUGAACUACAAGUCGGCAAAUUCUUUUGAGACACCUUGCGACACCAGUCUUCAACCCUAACCUUUUGGUCCCUUCCCAACUUCAAUAUUUGGUGGCCCCUAUGGGGAGAGUCUGACCUCCCCUGGCUUGAUUCCCUCCUUGUCAAGUUCCCAUCUGCUCCUUUGGGGAAACACCCCAGAAGGUAUUAAGGGACCCUCUCCACUCCACUCUCCAGAGGCCUGAGUGUAUCUCAGUUGUGGGGACUGCUAACAAGAUCAGCAUAGCCCAAGUCCCUCUGUUUGCUAACCCCUCUCAUCUCAGAUCAGAUUAAGAAAAGUGAAUGCUAAAGAAUUGAGGGAAACUCAAAUUCUGCUCCACCUGUGGAAAUGGGAAGCAGCAACAGCCAUGGGGACGCCACCCAGACUUACCCAACAUCUCCCCAACCCAGCUUGGGGGAAUGAAGAUGGAGUGGGGAUAUGGCCUAAUGGUCAGCAUUCCCUGAGCCUUGGCACCUGAAACUACCAUCAAAGGAAAUCCUGAUACCAGUCACCCCAGUCUUCAGCAGAUCCUAUCCAGCAACUGCCUGGGAAAAAUCUGGGUAUCCUGGCGGCACCCACCGUGGCAGUGUGAGGUGAGAAAGCCAGUCAGCCUCUUUCAUUUGUUUUAACCUACUUGGAAGAUCUGUUUCCUCCAGACUCCAAGCUAUGAAUCGAACUUUGUGUUCAACCUAAAUACCAUCGGCUAACUGAUUCUGACACUAGGCACCCUGCUGAACGCUGCUCAUCUUCAAGUUGCCUGCCUCCCCUACUCAGUCUGGUCCCCUAGGCAAGGAGAGCUCUACACCCCUUAUCAGCAUGAAGCAGCUCCAGAAAGAUGAGCUCUCCAUUCCUUAGUCCCAAAUGAAUUUGGGGUUCCAACUGCUUGAGACGGGAAAAUGAUGGAAUAUAGUUUCUAGGGGAGACAACACACCUGAUUUGGGGGUGCUUCUGUUCUAACAAUCUGUCAAUGAUAUUAAAGUCUUCAGGCUUUAGAAUCAGUGAUCAUGAGGUCCCCCCAACCUUAGAGUGCUAUUGUAACAAUCUGUUCAUAUAUGAUUGUAAAAGUCUUCUGGCCUAGAAAUAUAAUAUUUCUUCCCUUAGACUUUAGGGAAGAUAUCUUAGGGAUCCUGAGACCCUUUGACCUUGGGGUGCUUCUGUUUUCACAAUCUGUCAAUGAUUCUAAAGUUUUCUGGCUUUAGGAGAGUCCUAGGUCUGCUGAUCAGGGCUAACCAGAUUCCUGAGACCACUGGUCAAUUCCCCCUCUAGGCCAUAGCAUUAGCACAUCAACUACAUGAAGAACUGGAUACAUGUGUCUCUUUGCUCCUCGCUCUUUGCCAAACUCUUUUUGGAACUUAGCCUGCUUCAAUUGGCCUUACAAUGACAAUAAACUUUGCCCCUUGGCUUGGAGAUGGGCUCAAGCCUGCAAAUUCUUUUGAGAUACCUUGCAACACCAGUCUGCGACCUCAAACUUUUAGGGUACCUUCUCAACCUUAUUGCCAUUGGUCUUCAAAAAUGGACAAACAACAGGUGGAGCACCAGGAUUAGAGUAAGACUCAUUUAUCUGAGUUCCAGUCUGGUUGUGUGACACUGGACAAGUCACUUCACCCUACUUGCCUCAGUUUCUUCAUCUGUGAAAAGAACUGGACAAUGG